rnacentral:rRNA from 1 species
CAGCAGCCGCGGGAAUACGAAGGGUGCAAGCGUUAAUCGGAAUUACUGGGCGUAAAGCGCACGUAGGCGGCUUGGUAAGUUAGAGGUGAAAGCCUGGAGCUCAACUCCAGAAUUGCCUUUAAGACUGCCGAGCUAGCAGGUGAGAGAGGUAAGUGGAAUUCCGAGUGUAGAGGUGAAAUUCGUAGAUAUUCGGAAGAACACCAGUGGCGAAGGCGGCUUACUGGCUCAUACUGGACGCUGAGGUGCGAAAGCGUGGGGAGCAAACAGGAUUAGAUACCCCCGUAGUCCCUGUCUCUUAUAC